rnacentral:rRNA from 1 species
GACGUAGGGCGCGAGCGUUGUCCGGAUUUAUUGGGCGUAAAGAGCGUGUAGGCGGCCAGGUAGGUCGGUUGUGAAAACUGGAGGCUCAACCUUCAGAGGUCGACCGAAACCAUCUGGCUAGAGUCCGGGAGAGGAGAGUGGAAUUCCUGGUGUAGCGGUGAAAUGCGCAGAUAUCAGGAAGAACACCCGUGGCGAAAGCGGCUCUCUGGAACGGUACUGACGCUGAGACGCGAAAGCGUGGGGAGCAAACAGG